GUAGGGGGAACCUCAGAAGCCCGGGGGCUUGUCCUGAGAUUUUACUGGGACUCUGGGCCACAGAUGUGGGCCAUUCCCUGGGAAUAAAGGUUUCUAAGUCUCCUAGAGACACCCAGGUUUUGGAGGAACAUCAAAGGACCACUGGCCUCCGAGAUCUCAGAGUCAAUUCUCCACAAUUUGUCCUGGCCCCAGGGACCCACCAGAUUUUUUAGGGCUAGUGUGCACGUGAAAGUCAUGAAGGAUGUGAGAGACGUGACAGACGUGAAAGUCUUGGGACGCAAGGAAAGGUCACGUUGGCCCCGCGCCCUUGGUACCGGAUGGGCUACCUGUCCUCAAAGUCUAAGGAAGUUACAAGGUUGCUGUCUAGGCCCAGCACAUACCAAGGGAAGGGCAAACAGAUAACAGAGACAUCUGCUGCAGUAGAGGUGCUGCUGUAUAGGAGCUGAGUCACACAUAUAACUUCCCUCCAGAGUUAGCUUAGAGACUCACAGGGAGGUGAUGCCACACAGGAUGGGAUUCAGGUGGUCCCCAGUGCCUGGCCCAGCAAACUGCGGGCGUUUAGAAGUGGUGAAAAACAACAAGAACAUGGUUAUGGGGACCAUCUCUACUCACCUUGCUAUUGUCACCAGGGAGUUCACAUGACCAGCUUACCACAUCUGUGAUCACCCAGCCUUCUCCAGUGGUUUUGCAUCUCAAUCUCUCCCCCACUAAGAAGCAUGAAUGACUCAUCUUGGCCACCACACUUGCUGGCCCUACCUUCAGGUCACUUCUAUCCUGACCCUCUGUCUUUCCUGUAUUUAAAAUGAGGAGAUGAGGAGCAGUCCGAGAUGGUGGGUGUGUGAUGUGUAAUGUCAGCUCUUCUACCCAGAUGUCUUACAGGGGUCAGGGGUCACAAACAGGUGUGGUACUCUGCUCUGAAACCCUCUGCUUUCCCAGCCCCUGUACCCCCAACACACACAGGAUAUGCCAUCCAGGGAAUGGGAGGUACCUCUGCCAGGAACACCUUUCCUCCCUUCACCAUGCCCUGAGCUCCUGCUCCCCUCUUCCAGAGCCCCCCUCGGGGACACCAUCUCUGGUGUCCAAGCACUCUGUCUCUCCUCUGUGUGUACAUGAACCCUGUGCUAUCAAUUACAAUUUACUGGAUUACUUGUCAGCUUACCUCCAAGACACACGAAGGGAAAUGACCUAAUUCACCACAGUGUCUCCACAUGAAACACAGAGCCCGACGUGUAGUAGGUGCUCAGUAAAUGUCUCGUGAAUAAAUAACACAAAAGUGAAAAAGAAGCUUAACCUAAGUAGCUCCAUUUAGCUUCUGACUCCCAGUGGGAAUAUUCUUUAGGUUAAAAACUUGUACAUAGCUCUGCACACAGGCCAUAAGCCAUCUAAUUCUUUAUAAAAUUUAAUUUGCAGUUCAACUGUAAAAAACAAAAAGAUGAUAACCCUCCCUUUCCCAAAGCCACUCCCCAGAGAGAUAAGAAAAGUGUACCCACAAAUAACAGUGACCUUCGUGCUCCAAAGUUAACUGAGUGGGAUCAAAGAAGCUUUACGACCUCCUGGGACCCUCUCUAAUGCUCAGAUGCCUGUGGUCCUGGUUAUCUUUUGUAAAUCCCCCCACCCCAGACUUCCUUCUUCCUUAACAUAAAAAAAGAGUCUGAAGUUCAUACUAAUUUAAGACGGUUCUUUAAGACAUUAGUCCAUUAUUUUCUCCGUUUGCUGGCUCACCAAAUAAAAGUCAU